rnacentral:lncRNA from 1 species
CAGACCGUCCCUCCCGAGCCGACGAUGUAGGUACAACCCUUCAGAAAGGGGUCAUUCCGUCCCAAAUCGCCCAAAUUCUCAGGUGACCCUCGCAGAUUUGGAUGAAACUUUAUUUUUGUUUUGAACAAUGAACACAGGCCAGUUAUUUGCUCUAACUCCCAAUUGUUGUUGUUGUUGUUUUUUUAACAAUUUACAAAACGGGUGUUGUAACCACCUUUUCUGCUUGCGGGUGACUUGCGUUUGUGUGCAAUUUUUAAAGAGCUGUAGUUAUUAAAGGGCUAAUAUUUGGUCCACAACACCCUGUUUAUAUUUUUUAACUAUGGUGAAAUAAUAAACUUUGCAUGUGUUCAGUACACAUGAGUCAGAACUAAAAAAAUAAAUAAAAAAGUCAUCCAUAUCUGAGUGGGUCACCUGGGAGGUUGUGGGUGAAACCACACGGAAUGACCCUUUGGGAUUGGAAUAAACUUUUUGCGUUGACUGAGGAUUCAUCCUCAGAUCUUGAGCCAGUGUCAUCCUACCCAACUGCAUGAUAAGACUUUUGUCAUUAGGUUGAAACUGGAGCUUGACCCACCCAGAGAGAGAAUUCCAAGAGAUGCAAACUCUGCACAGGAUAAGGACACACAUAAUAUAAGAAUAAAACUAUAAACUUAUAGAUAUGAUAGUGCUAAACCAGUCACUCAGUGUUGCAUUUGGGCAAGUAUGCAUUGCCAACAAUAAGUUUUCUAUUUCGUUAGGUGCGUUGUUUGCACUGCUCCAUGGAUUUGUCAUAUAGUGGCAGUACCUCCACCAUGCUGAAUCACAUGCGCGCCAAGCAUUCAGACAAUGAGGUCCAGCAAGCCACGGCAGGUGAAGUGAACCCUGAGAAUUCUCCUGUGUUGACCAGGAAACAGCAGAUUGACAAUUCCUUGGUGGAUAUGAUGGUAGGGCUUCGCUGGCGGCUCUCGGCAGUGAAUCGUGAGGGCUUUAGGGCAAUGACAAAUUGCUUGGACUCGACCUAUGUGAUUCCAAGUCGAGAAGAGCUAAAGGCUUUAAGGGAUGCACGGCAUAAAAACCCAAACGGAAGCAUCCUACUUGGGAAUCCUCAUCAAGUGAUUCUGACUGAAUAAAAUUGCACUAAAUUACUGAGUGCCUUUUUGUUGGGACCUUUCUUAGUUUAGGCGUUAAGCAGCUAUGGUCAGUUGUGCUCCAGAGCACGUUCUGGAUUAGGCAUUGUGGUGUGAACUGACACCUCUUUACUUAAUUAUGCUGCCUUAGUUAUUUUUGUUCUUCACUAACAUUUCUAAAUGUUGCACAUGGUUCAACACUGACUGUAAAGCAUGUUUAUGCAGUCAUCUGUUAUAUUGUAUGUAAAUGCUCAUUCAUACAUUAAACAUUUAUAUUUGUAAAAUAGUGUCUUUUUA